AGAUAGACUGCAAUUCUACAUUAGUACCCGUACUUGGAGAAACUAAGAAUGUGUCAGCUGCUGAAAUCUGCUGCAGAGCCACAAAAUCCCUGAAGAAAAUUUGCCUACCCGGGAGAAAAUACUUGCAUAAACUUGAGCAUUUCCUAGAUGUUGUUAAAGCCCAAGCAAAGCAGACCAAACAUGCUGUCAAAUGUGAUGUUUCUGAAGAUGAGGAAGAUAUAAGCUCAUUCCUUGGUUCUCUUCGUUCAUACUUCCAGUACAAAAUUUUCAAUCAUCAGCCAUGAAAUCUGGUUGGAAGAAAAGAAGUUGCUGCCUUGCCAUCAUGCUAACAUUACCAAGCACAACCCAUCUUUGUUAUGACUACAUGCCAUUUACAGAAAUAUAGUACUGUAUAUUUUAUUGUUAUAUAAAUGUAAUAAGUGAACUUAGCUAUUUAUUUCUAUAAUUUUUACCAUAUGUUUGGCUUUGUUUACACACCAUGAUAAUGUGAAGAAUGCAGUUAUCAGUCCCUUACAGCAAGCCACCUGUCCUAGCCACUGCUUUCUUUAUCUCUUCAUAUCAAUCAUUACUUAUAUUCGCUGCUAACUUGAUAUGAAAUACUCAUCUAUGCACUAAACAUUUCCUAGCUAAACAAUUUGAAUUUUUUUAACCUAGCAGGCGUAUUUUCUUCAUGCAGUAUUAAACCCAAAAGCGAACAUUUAUUGUAUUGCAGCUUACCAAUUCUUUGAUGUUAUGGCUCAAUACAUUUUCUUAUUUAGGUUACCUUUUUUCUAUUUUUAUCUGGGAAAAUUCGUUCCUGUACACCAAUUUGGAUG